CCAGCUAAGGUCCCAAAGUCAUGGUUAAGUGGGAAACGAUGUGGGAAGGCCCAGACAGCCAGGAUGUUGGCUUAGAAGCAGCCAUCAUUUAAAGAAAGCGUAAUAGCUCACUGGUCGAGUCGGCCUGCGCGGAAGAUGUAACGGGGCUAAACCAUGCACCGAAGCUGCGGCAGCGACACUGUGUGUUGUUGGGUAGGGGAGCGUUCUGUAAGCCUGUGAAGGUGUGUCGUGAGGCAUGCUGGAGGUAUCAGAAGUGCGAAUGCUGACAUAAGUAACGAUAAAGCGGGUGAAAAGCCCGCUCGCCGGAAGACCAAGGGUUCCUGUCCAACGUUAAUCGGGGCAGGGUGAGUCGACCCCUAAGGCGAGGCCGAAAGGCGUAGUCGAUGGGAAACGGGUUAAUAUUCCCGUACUUGGUGUUACUGCGAAGGGGGGACGGAGAAGGCUAUGUUGGCCGGGCGACGGUUGUCCCGGUUUAAGCGUGUAGGUGUGUGUUCCAGGUAAAUCCGGUUCACUUUAACACUGAGGCGUGACGACGAGGCACUACGGUGCUGAAGCAACAAAUGCCCUGCUUCCAGGAAAAGCCUCUAAGCAUCAGGUAACAUCAAAUCGUACCCCAAACCGACACAGGUGGUCAGGUAGAGAAUACCAAGGCGCUUGAGAGAACUCGGGUGAAGGAACUAGGCAAAAUGGUGCCGUAACUUCGGGAGAAGGCACGCUGACACGUAGGUGAAGUGAUUUACUCAUGGAGCUGAAGUCAGUCGAAGAUACCAGCUGGCUGCAACUGUUUAUUAAAAACACAGCACUGUGCAAACACGAAAGUGGACGUAUACGGUGUGACGCCUGCCCGGUGCCGGAAGGUUAAUUGAUGGGGUCAGCGCAAGCGAAGCUCCUGAUCGAAGCCCCGGUAAACGGCGGCCGUAACUAUAACGGUCCUAAGGUAGCGAAAUUCCUUGUCGGGUAAGUUCCGACCUGCACGAAUGGCGUAAUGAUGGCCAGGCUGUCUCCACCCGAGACUCAGUGAAAUUGAACUCGCUGUGAAGAUGCAGUGUACCCGCGGCAAGACGGAAAGACCCCGUGAACCUUUACUAUAGCUUGACACUGAACAUUGAGCCUUGAUGUGUAGGAUAGGUGGGAGGCUUUGAAGUGUGGACGCCAGUCUGCAUGGAGCCGACCUUGAAAUACCACCCUUUAAUGUUUGAUGUUCUAACGUGGACCCGUUACCCGGGUUGCGGACAGUGUCUGGUGGGUAGUUUGACUGGGGCGGUCUCCUCCUAAAGAGUAACGGAGGAGCACGAAGGUUGGCUAAUCCUGGUCGGACAUCAGGAGGUUAGUGCAAUGGCAUAAGCCAGCUUGACUGCGAGCGUGACGGCGCGAGCAGGUGCGAAAGCAGGUCAUAGUGAUCCGGUGGUUCUGAAUGGAAGGGCCAUCGCUCAACGGAUAAAAGGUACUCCGGGGAUAACAGGCUGAUACCGCCCAAGAGUUCAUAUCGACGGCGGUGUUUGGCACCUCGAUGUCGGCUCAUCACAUCCUGGGGCUGAAGUAGGUCCCAAGGGUAUGGCUGUUCGCCAUUUAAAGUGGUACGCGAGCUGGGUUUAGAACGUCGUGAGACAGUUCGGUCCCUAUCUGCCGUGGGCGCUGGAGAACUGAGGGGGGCUGCUCCUAGUACGAGAGGACCGGAGUGGACGCAUCACUGGUGUUCGGGUUGUCAUGCCAAUGGCACUGCCCGGUAGCUAAAUGCGGAAGAGAUAAGUGCUGAAAGCAUCUAAGCACGAAACUUGCCCCGA
rnacentral:rRNA from 2 species